AUUUUUUGGUGCUCUCUUCAAUCUUCAGGCACUUUGUGAUUACAAACUCUUCUCCUAUUCAAAAUUAGUCUUGACAUGAAGGGAUCUGAUAAAAAUAAUCUACAAUAAGGUAUAAUUUACUGAUAUUGGUUUAAUAUAUAAUUAUUCCCAAGAAUAUUUAUAUUUUAAUCAACCUAAACACAUUAUUAUCAGCAAAGAGGUGGCAAAAGUAUUGGGGAGAGCAAUAGGUCCUUCCCAUCAUUCCUGAGAUCACACCAUGUAAAGUGUUGCUGGAUUCCUUCCAUAGAAGGAUGCUCUCACCAUUGUUCUGGUCUAACUGCCACAAGGAUGCCAGAGCUAAUCUGUCAGACUCCCAGAGGACUGAAAACCCUUAAAGUGCUUUCUCAACUUCUUUGCAAGACAAUAGCAUUCUGAAGGCCUCAUGCAGAGCUGAUACUCCACAGCUAGGAAUGAUCAUCAACAAAUUGGAAAAUCAAAACAGACUCCCUUAAGAAGAAUGCACUGAAAAAAGCAAAAUAAUAAUUAAAGUAAUAAAAAUGUGCAAAAUCCUCA